GGGGAAUUUUCCGCAAUGGGCGAAAGCCUGACGGAGCAAUACCGCGUGAGGGAGGAAGGCUCUUGGGUCGUAAACCUCUUUUCUCAGGGAAGAACAAAAUGACGGUACCUGAGGAGUAAGCAUCGGCUAACUCUGUGCCAGCAGCCGCGGUAAUACAGAGGAUGCAAGCGUUAUCCGGAAUGAUUGGGCGUAAAGCGUCCGUAGGUGGUUAUGUAAGUCUGUGGUUAAAGCGUGGAGCUCAACUCCAUAAGGGCCAUGGAAACUACAAGACUAGAGUCAAGUAGGGGUAGAGGGAAUUCCCAGUGUAGCGGUGAAAUGCGUAGAGAUUGGGAAGAACACCGGUGGCGAAAGCGCUCUACUGGACUUGUACUGACACUGAGGGACGAAAGCUAGGGGAGCGAAAGGGAUUAGAUACCCCUGUAGUCCUAGCCGUAAACGAUGGAUACUAGGUGUUGCCCGUAUCGACCCGGGCAGUGCCGUAGCUAACGCGUUAAGUAUCC
rnacentral:rRNA from 1 species